rnacentral:rRNA from 1 species
CCUACGGGUGGCAGCAGUGAGGAAUAUUGGUCAAUGGACGAGAGUCUGAACCAGCCAAGUAGCGUGAAGGAUGACUGCCCUAUGGGUUGUAAACUUCUUUUAUAAAGGAAUAAAACGAGGCACGUGUGCCUUUUUGCAUGUACUUUAUGAAUAAGGAUCGGCUAACUCCGUGCCAGCAGCCGCGGUAAUACGGAGGAUCCGAGCGUUAUCCGGAUUUAUUGGGUUUAAGGGGAGCGUAGAUGGGUUGUUAAGUCAGUUGUGAAAGUUUGCGGCUCAACCGUAAAAUUGCAAUUGAUACUGGCAGUCGUGAGUACAGUUGAGGUAGGCGGAAUUCGUGGUGUAGCGGUGAAAUGCUUAGAUAUCACGAAGAACCCCGAUUGCGAAGGCAGCUUACUAAACUGUGACUGACAUUGAUGCUCGAAAGUGUGGGUAUCAAACAGGAUUAGAUACCCUUGUAGUC